rnacentral:ncRNA from 1 species
GGUGGUCGACAUGAUUGUAGGCCACUUGGAGAGUGUAUCUCUCUGAGCGAUGUAAAUUGAAGUUGGGUCAUGUGGUUGCGAGAAGACGACUCGCAACAGUCGCGGUGCUGUAAGGAUUCAAGUGGACUUUGCGCCAUGAGAUCUUGAGGCUCAUCCGUCGACUUUAAACCAAA